UACGUAGGCAGCAAGCGUUGUUCGGAGUUACUGGGCGUAAAGGGUGUGUAGGCGGUUGGAUAAGUGUGGUGUGAAAAUCUCCCGGCUCAACUGGGAGGGUGCGCUACAAACUGUCUGACUAGAGUGUGGGAUGGGUAAGUGGAAUUCCUGGUGUAGCGGUGAAAUGCGUAGAUAUCAGGAGGAACACCGGUGGUGUAGACGGCUUACUGGACCAUAACUGACGCUGAGACACGAAAGCGUGGGUAGCAAACAGG
rnacentral:rRNA from 1 species